GAUGUCUCUCACUCAAAGUACAUUCCUUUGAACAUCCUUUUGCAUAAAAGUUUCUAAUCUAGUCAUAGAUUUUCAAUAUUCAAUUCUCAAUAUGGACACGUUUCCAUAUUUUCCAUAUGACAACUCAUUCUUAAUAGAAUCUUAUCUAUUCGUAAUGAUGUCGAUAUGGUCCAUCCAAUAUGGAAACAUUUCCAUAAUUUCCAUAUGACAACUCAUUCUUAAUAGAAUCUUUUCUAUUCAUAAUAAUGUCGAUAUGGUCCAUCCAAUACCAUGCUUCCAACUACUCACAAGCGACCAAUCCUCGUCGAACUUUGGAUUGUCCUUUGAUAGUUGUUUAAUUAUUUUAGUCAAAACCAAUUCUAGUCCCUUUUCCCUCUAAAUGCGCUCGACAUUUGGAAAAUUUUAGAAUGGUCAAACAUUAAAGCAUUUGCAAUCGAUCCUAUACCCGAAGCGUAUGGGACACGACGCAUAAUGUUUUAUUUGCUAUGUUCUCAAAAUUCGAAUUGUGAAGAGGAAUGCCGUAAUCAUAAUCGAAAUUUUAAGAACACACUAUGUACCCUUGACUAAAUUUAUUAACAUUUCUCAACCUAAUCCUUUAGAUUUGAAAUGAAGCAUAAUAUUCUCUCCCUUAAUUAUAGCAAAACAACUUUACAACCCUUACGACUUUGCAAGGUAUAACUCUUGUUUUCUAUAAUUAAUAUUGCCAACUUGCAAUACGUGCCUUAAUAAUCAUACAAUCAUAACAUUUAUGCUCCCACUAUCAUGAUGAUUAUUAUAAAACAUAACACUUAUGCUCCCACUAGCUUCGACAUGUAUUCAUAAACAUCUUAACUUUCAGAAAAACAAUACUUAUUGAAUUUCUUAAGUUCAUGUUUCUAAUACUUAGUGCUUUGAUAAUCUUUUAUCAAGGCUUCUUGAACUUAUACACCUUUGCCUUCGAUAGUUCAUAUGUGUGUCUAAACAAUUAAGACUAAUUGCCAAACCUCACAAUUCAAAUUAUGGAAAGGGAUACCGUAACCAUAAUCGAAUUCGAGAAUGCAAUUUUACAAUCACUAUCUUCUUAAAAUCUUUCUUAGUGAAAGCAUUUCCUCACAAUCAUUUUCAUGAAGGAGGAAAUCUUAUGACACUUAGAUUUAAACGGUGUAUGUGUUCCUAUCCAUGUGAAUUUGUUAAAACCAAAGUUUACGACAAAUUCAAACUCAUAUGGACCGAACUUUCUUAAUCUUGAUUUCUUGCCUUAUGGUAGCACAGCUGCCCACCAUGUCUUCCAAGUAGUUAAGCAGCUCACCCUUUCCUAUCAAUGUACCUUUCAUUGAUUAAGGUGCCUUGCCUUUUAUGCGUUCAAAAUGAGAACUCAUAGAACUCACAUGCAUAAUUAACUCAAUUGGAAUAGCACAGAAACAAAAUAGUGUCAACACGAUAGGUUGUAAACCUCAACUCGUGUGCUAGUGAUGAUCGAUAAGGUUUAUUUGAUUUGUUCUUGAAACCUUUCAAGACCAUUAAGACUCCCACUGACUCCUUGACAUAUAAGAUUCUCUUGUCAAUAAACAUUUCUUGACAAACAAAUAUUCAAGAGUUAGUGUAGUUUUUAUCAAAACACUUCAUAAAUUGGUCUUAGUUGGUCUUUGUCUUAUCCAAGACAUCACAACUUUCCACAUUUGAUGAUUGUUAUAAACCUUCUUAACACUUAUCACUAAAUGUCACAAUCUUAACUUUGAGAACGAAGUAUGAUUGACUUAUUGAUUUAACAAUUUCUUCAAUUCUUGAUUCCUCUUCUUAGACAUACAAUUGUACUAAGACUGACUUAGAGGAUCAAUUGAGAUAUGGUUCUUAAUCAUUAAGGCUCAUCAUAAAAUAUAAUAAAAGGUACUCUCCCUUCUUCUUAGAAUGGAGAAACGUUUAUCUUUCUGCCUACUUGAUUCUUCUUAUUCGUUCUGCUAUUGAUUUAAACUGUUUCAAUCAAUCCAGAAUUACAUUUAAUCUUAUAAGUAUAAUCAUAUUUACUAAACCUUUAGUAAAUCAUGACGAAUGUCUUUGUUACUCUUCUGGUGGACUUGACCAACACACAACUUUGUGUACUCGAUCUCUUAGUCCUUCACUUGACACUUUGUCAAUGGAUUAGUUUAAUUUUUCAAAUAUGAAAUUUCUCAUUCAUCGUGCAACCAAGUUGCAUGAUUCCAAAUUUCCGUCCAAUUGAAACUUGGGCGAUGAGAAACUCUCCUAUUUGGUAAAUUUUCGACAUUUCCAUAAACAACAUAACUAAGAAUCAAAUCCAUUAUUGCUAAUAUUAGAAACAUUCAAACAUCAAUUUUUCAUACACGCCAUUGCAAGGAUAAAUAAAUAAUAUAAAAUCAAAAUUUAUUUUAUUGCGGAAAAAUUUGUCCUUACAACGCAAUUCAUUGAAAAACUAUGCUAAUACANCUCUAAGUAGUUGCUCAAGAAUCUAAUCUUCAAAUAAUGUGAUUGAAACCCAUUCCUUCGCAGUUAGAUUCUGCUCACUUUUUCCCUUAGGCUUCCUUUCUUUUCUUCGAUCAUACAAAACAUCAAUUGUAAUCUUAUCACAUUAUGUAUUAAGAUUCUAGAAUAUGAGCUUGAAAAAGUUAGUCAACGGAUUUUACCUAAAGCAAAGAAUACGUUUUGACUCUCCCAUCUCUUAGAUCUCUUAGGUAAAUAGGACAGCUUCGUCUCCAAUGCCCCUUCUCAUGGUAAUAAAAGCAAAUUGAUUCUUUUGGAACAGGACACGGAACUAGUUCAGACAUCGCCUUUCUCUUAUGAUCAAACUUUUCAAUCAUAGCAUGUCUUUCGUUUCCAUUGUCUAUAUCCAUAGAGGUCUUGAAGGUAGAUUCACCAAUCAACUUUGCUUUUCUUUGGCACCAAACCAUUGCUGAUUCAGCAACAAUAAGCAUAUAGGUGAUAUCUAUAAGGGUCACGUCACAGUUCAUUAUAUAGUACUCUCUUACGAACUCACUAUAUGAGUUAGGAAGUGACUGAAGAACCCAAUCAACAGCGAUCUCCUCAUAGACAACGGAUCCCAACAUUCUUAACCUAUUAAUGUGUUACUUCAUCCCUAGGACGUGUGCACACACUGACUUUCCUUCUUCAUGUUUACUCGCCAAAAGGGCUUGAGUGAGCUUGAACUUUUCAAGCCUUCGAACUUGUGGGUUAGGGAGAAUAAUUGGAGGAGGUGGAGGAAGUGAAGCAUGUUUUCUUGUUCCUCGAUCGAAUCGUGGAAUAUCAUCUUCAUGUGGAAAACUUGUUCCACGGGAUUUGGGAAGACCAUAGUUGUCGAACUUUGACAUCUACAAAACGGGAGAAAAACGAAUUCAAGUUAGUUGAUAGAUUGAGUCCUUAGUAAAUCAACCAAAUGAAAUACUAAGGCUAGGACCCAACACAAUAUUCCACAACUCAGGAGAGGGAUGCCGUAACCUUAAUUGCAGAAUAUUUGAAGGUAAGUGAACGACGAUUCACUAAUUUCCAUCACGAAAAACGAAAAAGAAAUUUAAGUUUUAAAUCUAUGAAAACUCCUAGAUCCUUUGAGAUUCAUUGAACUUUCAAUGGCAUGUUUAAAUCUCGAUAUGCCCUUCUUGUUUGUGACUGGGAUGCCGAGGAUCACAAAGCGGGUGUGAAUAACCAUGCAAACUUACAUGGUGCCCUCACAUGUUACAGUCACCUAUUCGAUGUGCCGGUAAACCACACACGCUCCACCGAACUAUGACAAACAUUGAGUCACCCUUUGCUACCUUUGCUUAGAACCAUUUAGUGUGUCGGUAAACCACACACGCUCCACUAACGUCUUCGCAAGGGCACAAAGUGUAAUUUCAUGGAAUUGCAUCAAUUCACUUUUGCCUAAGUAACUAAGAUUGGGAAUUUUAUGAAAACAUUUAGUUACUUUAAUAAUUCAUUAUACUUAUAAUGGAAGGUUUCGUCCUAUCCUACCCGUUCGGCUAACGACCCUCCACUAGUCAAGAGUGCGGUGGGUAAGAGUGGAUACCCAUUCAAUCGCCAUUUUAUAGGCAAUUUCCUUAAACACCCCUUAUAGACCAGCUUCGUGAAUGAGGCCUACUAACGGUAAGACUGACUUUUACUCAUACAUAUAUAUAAUGUUAGACUUUUAAUGUUAUAUAUAGUAUAGGGUGUAUUUUACACUUUUAAAAUACUAGGUGGUCUAAUUUAACAAUUAUACUUUUAAUUCAAUUAAAUUGUAAACCUAAACUUUUAUGGAUUUAUUAAACCUCUUUUAAUUAUACACCUUAAUUAAUUAAUAAAACCAUAAGGGUGUGAUUUGAACUUUUUCAAAACAAUACUAGGGUUUUAGAAUUUAACAUUCCUAAUUAAACUUUUAAUCAACUUUUAAAUUCCAAAACUUGAGGGCAAGUUUUGAAACAUUUCAAAACAUUAGGGUUUAGAAUUUAAAUAUACAUCAAAAUUAAACUUUUAAUCAAAAUUUAAAUUCCAAAACUUGAGGGCAAGUUUUGAAACCUUUUUCAAAACAUUAGGGUUUCAACUAUUUAAAUUUCACAACAAAACUUUUGAGUUCAAAUUUAAACUAUAAAACCUAAAGGGGAAAAUAUGAAACUUUUCAUAACACAAGGAUCAAAUAACAAAUAAUCUAAAUUAACAUUUAAUCACAUAAUUAUCCAUAUUUGAUUUAUUUAAUGAUUUCUUGCAAAACAAUUUACCAAUUUAAUCAAAAUAAUUAAUCAAUUAUCACAUAAGGAAACAAAUAUUUUAUUAAUUGAUAAAUAUCUUCAAUUAGAUCAAGAAUAUAGUCAUAUAUAUCAUAAAAUCGGAUUUAUAUUGAUCUAAUAUGAUAAAGGCAAGUAUCUCAAAGAUAAACAGCAAGAAAUCCCGAAAAUAGCUCCAUCUGACGCUCGAACUCGCCGAGUACCCCCAUGGACUCGCCGAGUAGGGGGCAACUCGCCGAGUCCACAGUGGGACUCGCCGAGUCCAUCAUGCAGAACCACAAAAAUCGAAUUUUUUCAACAUACAAGGCAUCAAUACAAUAGAAACCAAUCAAGGCUCUGAUACCACUGAUGGGUUUUGGUCCUAAGAACAUCCUAUGUGCUCAUACAAACCCUAAUGCUUGGAUCUAGGUUUCUCUAUUGUACAUGCAAGUUAUCCAAGACUAUAAACCCUAAUUCUAGCAUUCAAGUAAUCAUAUUAACAUGAGAAUAGGUUUAAGAUGUUACCUUGAUUGUUAUGUAGCAAUAACAAUCCCAAAUCUCCUUGUAUUGACUUUAGAAAGCUUAGAGUCACAAAUGUCACUCCUCUAAUGGUUCACAAACACCAUAAGCAAGAGGAUGAAGAGGAGAGAGGAUGGAGGCUGCCCAAAAACGUCCACAAACCCUAGAGAAGUCUUAGCCACGUUUUUAGGUCAUAAGGGAUCUAUAUAUAUAGGAGGCUAUUAGGGUUAUCUAACAAGGAAACCCUAAAUUGGAUGCUUAAGCCCUAAGCAACCCAUGGAGUCCAUUAAUUAAGGCCUUGGACGAUUUCCUUAUGGGUUUCCCCAUAGAAUUCGUCCACUCCUUAAUUUAAGACAAUCCAUAGCCCAAAUUGCAAUUAUCUUAUAAUUACAAUUCCAGUCCCUUUAGUUUAAUUCUUGACUAAUAUUAAUUAAACAAUAUGAUUUCUCCUUUAAUAUAUUAUUCCCAUAAUAUAUUAAUAAAUCAUAUUUAAUCCUUUCUCUCCAUAAUUCAUCCUAUCAAGUUGCUUUGGUGAAGGCAACCCAAAAGGACCAUGCACCAUCGGGUCAAGUACAUACCAAAAUAGUUAUGGACUUAGACACUAAUCCAACACCCCUUGCAUGGAUUGAUGACCUCUUUGAUCAGUUGCAGGGUGCUCUUGGUUCUCCAAGAUAGAUAUGAGGUCUGGGUAUCAUCAGGUUAGAGUGAGGGAAGAGGACGUGGAGAAGACCGCGUUCCAGACUCAUUAUAGGCAUUAAAAGUUCGUGGUGAUGCCAUUUGGGCUCACCGAUGCGCCUGUAGUGUUCAUGGAUUUGAUGAAUCGGGUAUGCAGGCCGAUGCUUGAUCGUUCCAUUAUUGUGUUCAUUGAUGAUAUCUUGGUAUAUUCCAAGACCAUGGAGAAGCAUGAGGAGCAUCUUUGAGAGCUCCUAGUGGUUUUAAGGCGAGAUCAACUUUAUGCUAAGUUCUCGAAGUGUGAGUUUUAGUUAUGAGAGCUCAGUUCCUUGGACACCUCUUGUCACACCCCAAAACCGAUAACGGCGGAAUACGUUUCGGGGUGGAGGACGUCAUGUACAGUAUCCUCACAAUUGCAUGAUAGUAAAAACAAGAAACAUACAACCAUUGCAUUUACAUAGUGAGUUUAAUUACAAGCGUGUUUUGUAAUGUUCAACAAACACCAAAAGUAAUACAAAAAUAAGAGAUGGAUCUUGUAUGCUCCACCUUCUCCAAAAUGCUGCACCUGUACCUGUCUAUCUUUGACCUGAGGAUACAAGUUAUUUUGAAAACGAGUAUCAGCAUAAAGAUGGUGAGUUCAUAAGAGUUUAGUGUGAGUUUUUGUAUAAAAUUGCUUUAGAACAUAUAGUGUGAAAAGCUGCAAUUUACAUUAAUAAGUAGUAGAAAAUCCUAGAAAAUCCUAUAUUUUCCAGAAAUUACUUCGUAAAUGAAAACCUUUAAGUUGUAUGGAAUUUUCAUCAGUGAAAACCGUUUGUUGUAAAAGUAUAUUAGUGGAUCUCCAAUAGAUAAUGUAAUAGGAAAAGUUGUGCCUGUUACGGUAAUAGUGGUGCAGACUCCCAUUAGUAAUAGAUACUUAUUUACUUCGGGAUAUUAACUUAUACUUUAGUUUUAGUAUUUUAGUGUGGAGUUAGUGUAUUUCUUGUAUGCGACUGAUUGUGUGAGUAAUAGAGAACCCCAUGACCUUCCCGGUCAUGCCCAAUGUAGUAAAGUAGUGUCAUCCAUGGGCUUGCACAACUCGGACUGAUGUUAACAGUUGGGAUAUAAUAGCGUCUGCCCCGUGUAGAUCUAUACAUGUAGUGUCGUCUUCCUGUCGAAAAGACUCUGGGCAUAGUAUGUAGCGAAUAGAGUAUCUCCUAGUGAGUUAGUGUGUUAUCUCCUGAUUAGUGUUCUCUCUUGUAUUAUAGUAUAGUAGUCUUUUGUAUAACUCGUAGUGUGUUCUCUUAUUAGUGUAUCGUCUCGUAAUAGUAUGUAUUAUAGUGUGUAGAGUAGUAGCUAUAGCGAGUAAUAGUGGCCUUAACUAUACCUAUUAUAGUUAACUUAGUGUGUAUGGUUCUUGUCAAUUUAGUGGUUUAAGCUUCGGAUGAAAUGAAAAUGCUCAUAUCCAACACUAAUAUACAUGAUAUAUAACUAAGAAAUCAACGACAGUCGGACGGAUAACAACUACCCUAAGCCCACAAUCAAACAAGAACAGGAAAUAAGGCGAGCUAUCGGUCCUAAGUCCUUCAAGUCUUACUUAUAUAAAUAUAUUAGUGUGGUUACAUUUUAUAAGAACAUUUAUUUAAUAAAAAUCUUGUCCAAAGGGAACAUUUAGAAAAUUGUUUAUUUAUCCAAAAUAGUUUUGAAAACGUAAAAUCCUUUUACAAAGCAUAGUGGUAAAUCACAUGUGAUUUGAACUACGGAUAGUGAAUCACAUGUGAUUAAUUUCCAUAAACAUGUAUUUUUGACUUGUAUCCCCCCCUAAAACAUAUAAAAACAUUUGAAAGGUUCAUUAAAGGGGUAUGAACUCACCUGAAACCGAGUAAAUCGGGUAAAUCGGGUGAAAGUGUCGGUUGAGCGUUUGGUACCAAAUAAGGACUUGUACACCUUUUAAGACCCUAAUAACAUAUGAAAUAUAUGUUUUACAAGAAAUUAAUCAUUUUAUGCUUUUUAUUAAAACAUUUAGGUAUUCUAGCAUUGAUUCGGGGUCAUAGGGCUUAGAAGUGGUUCUCGGGGAUCGUACAAGGCCAAAUAGGGGUUACGGGAGAGUCCAAGAGUUUACUCCCUUGGAGUUUACGUCCAGAAGACCCUAGGCUUGGCCGUGAACUCUUGUUCUCCUCCCAAAAAUGGAUGUCAAGGCCCUAAAUUAAUCCCCUAUAUUUCUAGUGAAUGUCUAGGACCAAUUUGGGGUUUUAAAACCUUCAUUUGGUGUCAUUUGGGGGAGUUUACGGUCCUAGCUUGUGCUUGGGCCGUAAACUCCAUUUUGUCCCUCAAAAUGUGUUGCUUUAUGGACCUAAGCAUUUCCUAUGAUCAUAACUAAAUUUUAGCAUGCCUUAGAUGAGUUUUUGGGGCAUUUUAACAUGGAAAUUGAGUGUUUACGGCCUAAGCAUGUGCUUGGGCCGUAAACUCUCUUGUAGGUCCUAUAAACUUGUGUUUUGGUGUCCAAACUCAUCUAGGUAAUUUCCUUAAUUAGUAUACAAGCCUAAAGGAAGGAAAAAUGGGACUUUUAACAUGGAAAAAGGGUGUUUACGGCCUAAGCAUGUGCUUGGGCCGUAAACCCUUUUUAGUGCACUAAAACCUAUGGUUUUGAUGAUCUAAGGCUCCUAGGUACAACCCCUAACUAGUAUCCAAGCUUAAAAGAAGAAAAAUGGGGACUUUUGGCCAUCUUUAGGGUGUUUACGGCCUAAGGAGCUUCUUAGGCCGUAAACUCCUUGAUCAUGACUCAUUCACACGAUUUUUGAGCUAUAAACACAUUGAUGCAUGUUUAGAACAAGUUAGGGAAGAAACUCUUACGUUUGGAAGUCGGAAUUCGCGGUUUUGGAGUCGGAAUCGGGUCUAGAGAGAGAAAGUAGUGAGAGAGUGUAUGUUUGGGGUGGAAAAAAGGUGUAGAGUGGCAUUCAAUUUCCUUAAAUAUGCCUCGGGUAUUGCACCCGGUAUCCGACUACCCGAUGCUCAAGUUUAACGGGAUUUAAACUUUUUACUCGGGUGAAGUGGUUGAAAAGUAAUAUAACUUUAUUUUGCUAAACGGGGUUAACACUUACAAGUUAUAUUUACUUAUACUAAAAUGAUAAUGUCAAGAAAAUAUAAAUAAAUAGAUAUUUAUUUAUUGACGACUCCAAAUAUUACAGAAAUUUAUAUAUAACGAUGAAUUCCAUUAGUGAAAACGGGAUUAUGUAACGGAUAUAAAUUUGGGUUGUCACAUCUCAUUAACUAGGAUGGGAUAUUGGUCGAUCGAGCCAAGAUCGAGGCCGUGAUGCAGUGGGAUGUUCUAAAAUCUCCCUCGGAUAUCAGGAGUUUCUUAGGUUAAGUAGGGUGCUAUCAGAGAUUCAUUCAGGAUUUCUCCAAGAUUGCAAUACUCCUCACUCGUCUGACGAGGAAGGGAGUGGAUUUCUGUGGGGGCACUAAGCAGUAAUCGACAUUUGAUAUCCCUUCGGCAGAGGUUAUUUGAGGUCCCGUUGUUGACCCUCCUGGAGGGGUUUGAUGAUUUCGUGGUAUUCUGUGAUGCAUCCAUCACUGGUUUGGGGGCGGUCGUCAUGCAGAGAGGAUGGGUGAUAGAUUAUGUGUCGCGACAGCUGAAGCUGCACGAGACGCAAUAUCCCAUGCAUGGUCUAGAUUUAGGGGCCGUGGUUUUUUCCCUCAAGAUUUGGAGGCACUAUCUGAUGGGUUUUGGUCAUAAGACAUCCUAUGUGCUCAUACAAACCCUAAUGCUUGGAUCUAGGUUUCUCUAUUGUACAUGCUUUGAAUCCAAGACUAUAAACCCUAAUUCUAGCAUAUGGAAAUCAAUAUUAACAUAUAAUUAGGUUUAAGAUGUUACCUUGAUUGUUAUGUAGCAAUAACAAUCCCAAUUCCACCUUGAAUUGUCUUUGGAAUGCUUAGAGUCACAAGUGUCACUCCUCUAAUGGCUUACAAACACCAAGAGCAAGUGGAGAAGGUAUAAAGAGAGAGGAGAGAGGUAGGAAUUCGUCCUUAGGACUUCUUGGGAAGGCUUAGACGAAUUCAUGAGCCUCAGGGGGUUUAUAUAGGUGUAAAGAUUAGGGUUUUAGUCCUUAUCCUUAUCUAGUUGCUUGCCCACCAAGCAACCAUAAGAUAAGUCUUAGAAACCCUUAUCCUAGUCGAAUUCUAAGGCAUUAUCUCCUUAAAUUCAUUCACCCUAUAUUUAAGAUAAUCCUUACCUUAUUUUGUAACUAUCACAUAAUUACAAUUCAGCCCCUCUAGUUUAAUUAAUUACACUUGAUCACAAAAUUAAUUCUUAAUUAAUUAUUGACCAAUAUUAAUUAAACAAAUAUGAUUUCUCCUUUAAUAUAUUAUUCUUAUAACAUAUUAAUAAAUCAUAAUAACCUCUCUCUCUAUUUAUUUCUCCAAUCAAGUUGCUUUGGUGAAGGCAACCCAAAAGGACCAUGCACCAUCGGGUCAAGUACAUACCAAAAUAGUUAUGGACUUAGACACUAAUCCAACAGUCUCCCACUUGGAUAAGUCUAACAACUAUUCUGCGUAUGACUUCGGAUCCCGAUCUGCAAUCGUAGCUUUCCAAAGCCGCUGUCAACUCUGAUCAUAUCAGAUACGCGUGUCCUUAGAUAAGGGAUCAUAUAUUCCUCCAUUCUAGAUAUCAUAUGAGAUAUGAUUUCAAAUCAUUCUCUUUGUACUAUAUCUCGAUUUCCGAUUUAUGACGACUGACUAAUUGAACAAAUCAAAUUAGCCCUAGCCCGGCCGAGCAUUUACGUUUGUCAUCACUAAACCAUCGAGGGGCCCAAAGAUAUCGCUUUUAUCCUACUUUGGAUAAAAGGAACGGAUAAACUUUGAUACAAUGCUUGCUUGCACUCACUCACCGAAUCACACACAACAAUAUGUUUUAUAACACCAAGUUACUAGUGCGUUUACAUAUUAUCAAUGUGCAACCGAUUUGCAAGAUACAACUCACACAUCUCGGUUUCAAGAAUAUAAGAUGUUAUCGUCUCACCAAUCACUCGUGAUACAAUUCAUGGAGUGAUCCAAGUGAGCGUGGGUUUAAUCCAAUGCUCAAAUCAUAUUCAUAAGCACUCAUGAACGUUGCAGCAAACAUUUGCUUAUGUCUAAUACUCUUUUAGACAAUCCACACACCAAUUCACGACAGUCUUCAUUCAUAUCUACUUCCAACAUAUGAACGACUGUGGCCCGUUUGAAUAAUUCGAUUAUUCUUAAUAAACUCAAUUAUUCUGGAAGUCAAAACAUGCAAAUGUGAAACACAAGAAUAAUACUAAUCCCAUAUGGCCUCAAACCUUUGAGUAUAAAUAAAACACCUUUUAUUUAUCACCAUAUUGAUUACUCAUUAUUUGUCGUUUCGGGUAAUCAACUUCUUACUUGAAUUCCAACACUUGUCCCAUGCUCCUAGCAUGCACACAAUGUUUACCUAUGGUUCUUACUUUGUGAAAUAGAUCACAUUGAACACAUUUCCAAUCCUUCUCAUUUCACAACUCCAAAUCCCUUUUUCAUAAGUGAAAGAAUAUCAAAUUCUUGCUACUUAUAGAAUAUGCUAGAUUCUAACAUUCUAUGCAACUAUCCUUUCGUAAUGUCACUGCACCAAAGUCACAAAGACUAUUGCCAAUGAUAUUACAAAGUCCUCUAUCGGAGAUUGUUACAAGACAAUUCCUUAGAUAUGAUGUCUCUCACUCAAAGUACAUUCCUUUGAACAUCCUUUUGCAUAAAAGUUUCUAAUCUAGUCAUAUAUUUUCAAUAUUCAAUUCCCAAUAUGGACACGUUUCCAUAUUUUCCAUAUGACAACUCAUUCUUAAUAGAAUCUUAUCUAUUCAUAAUAAUGUCGAUAUGGUCCAUCCAAUAUGGAAACAUUUCCAUAUUUUCCAAUACUAUACUUCCAACUACUCACAAGCGACCAAUCCUCGUCGAACUUUGGAUUGUCCUUUGAUAGUUGUUUAAUUAUUUUAGUCAAAACCAAUUCUAGUCCCUUUUCCCUCUAAAUGCGCUCGACAUUUGGAAAAUUUUAGAAUGGUCAAACAUUAAAGCAUUUGCAAUCGAUCCUAUACCCGAAGCGUAUGGGACACGACGCAUAAUGUUUUAUUUGCUAUGUUCUCAAAAUUCGAAUUGUGAAGAGGAAUGUCGUAAUCAUAAUCGAAAUUUUAAGAACACACUAUGUACCCUUGACUAAAUUUAUUAACAUUUCUCAACCUAAACCUUUAGAUUUGAAAUGAAGCAUAAUAUUCUCUCCCUUAAUUAUAGCAAAACAACUAUUCCAUCCGUACAACUUUGCAAAGAAUGACUUUUGUUUUCUAUAAUUAAUAUUGCCAACUUGCAAUACUUUCCUUAAUAAUCAUACAAUCAUAACAUUUAUGCUCCCACUAUCAUGAUGAUUAUUAUAAAACAUAACACUUAUGCUCCCACUAGCUUCGACAUGUAUUCAUAAACAUCUUAACUUUCAGAAAAACAAUGUUUAUUGAAUUUCUUAAGUUCAUGUUUCUAAUACUUAGUGCUUUGAUAAUCUUUUAUCAAGGCUUCUUGAACUUAUACACCUUUGCCUUCGAUAGUUCAUAUGUGUGUGUAAACAAUUGCCAAACCUCACAAUUCAAAUUAUGGAAAGGGAUACCGUAACCAUAAUCGAAUUCGAGAAUGCAAUUUUACAAUCACUAUCUUCUUAAAAUCUUUCUUAGUGAAAGCAUUUCCUCACAAUCAUUUUCAUGAAGGAGGAAAUCUUAUGACACUUAGAUUUGAGCGGUGUAUGUGUUCCUAUCCAUGUGAAUUUGUUAAAACCAAAGUUUACGACAAAUUCAAACUCAUAUGGACCGAACUUUCUUAAUCUUGAUUUCUUGCCUUAUGGUAGCACAGCUGCCCACCAUGUCUUCCAAGUAGUUAAGCAGCUCACGUUUUCUGAUCAAUGUACUUUCCAUUGAUCAAGGUCCUUUCCUUUUAUG
rnacentral:lncRNA from 1 species